CACAACAUUAGGUUCAGUCCCACUGUGCGGUACUUCGGGCAAGUGUCUUCUACUAUAGCCCCAGGCUAACUUAAAGCCUUGCAAGUGACUUUGACAGAUGGAAACUGAAAGAAGCCUGUC